CUCCUCAUCCCCCCUCCGCGUGAACGUGUGGGCGCGGAUCGCGUGCACAGUGCAUUUCCGUAUCUACACCUGAGAGAAGGAGCUGCGUCUGGGAUUUUCCAGGCAGACUAGUGUGUUUAAAGAUUACCCUGGACAUGAAAAGUCUUCCUUGAUUACACAAACGUUCCCCAGAGGCGAAGAAAAUGCAUAUAAUUCUCAGCCAUAACAUAUUUUCCCAUUAUAUCAUUUUUUAAAGCAAGAACUGAAUGUUCUGUAGAUGUAAAAUUAGCUCUGCAGCAUAGCCUGUAAUAGAAAAUGAAAUUAGUUUCAGACAUUUUUAUAGUCUUGAGAGUUAACUACCAUAAACUAUAAGCAAGUUAAAGUUCUCCGAGAAGAUGAAUUAAAAUACUUUACUAAGUA